AAGGAUACUUCUGCAAAAAAGCAGCUCGCCGGAAGGCGGGAUAUGUUGUUUCAGGCUGAAAACCAUGUCUGUUACACCAUAU
rfam:Ruminococcus sp. 18P13 draft genome.